rnacentral:rRNA from 1 species
AGAGUUUGAUCAUGGCUCAGGAUAAACGCUGGCGGCGUGCUUAACACAUGCAAGUCGAACGGAAAGGCCCUGCUUUUGUGGGGUGCUCGAGUGGCGAACGGGUGAGUAACACGUGAGUAACCUGCCCUUGACUUUGGGAUAACUUCAGGAAACUGGGGCUAAUACCGGAUAGGAGCUCCUGCUGCAUGGUGGGGGUUGGAAAGUUUCGGCGGUUGGGGAUGGACUCGCGGCUUAUCAGCUUGUUGGUGGGGUAGUGGCUUACCAAGGCUUUGACGGGUAGCCGGCCUGAGAGGGUGACCGGCCACAUUGGGACUGAGAUACGGCCCAGACUCCUACGGGAGGCAGCAGUGGGGAAUAUUGCACAAUGGGCGGAAGCCUGAUGCAGCAACGCCGCGUGCGGGAUGACGGCCUUCGGGUUGUAAACCGCUUUCGCCUGUGACGAAGCGUGAGUGACGGUAAUGGGUAAAGAAGCACCGGCUAACUACGUGCCAGCAGCCGCGGUGAUACGUAGGGUGCGAGCGUUGUCCGGAUUUAUUGGGCGUAAAGGGCUCGUAGGUGGUUGAUCGCGUCGGAAGUGUAAUCUUGGGGCUUAACCCUGAGCGUGCUUUCGAUACGGGUUGACUUGAGGAAGGUAGGGGAGAAUGGAAUUCCUGGUGGAGCGGUGGAAUGCGCAGAUAUCAGGAGGAACACCAGUGGCGAAGGCGGUUCUCUGGGCCUUUCCUGACGCUGAGGAGCGAAAGCGUGGGGAGCGAACAGGCUUAGAUACCCUGGUAGUCCACGCUGUAAACGGUGGGUACUAGGUGUGGGGUCCAUUCCACGGGUUCCGUGCCGUAGCUAACGCUUUAAGUACCCCGCCUGGGGAGUACGGCCGCAAGGCUAAAACUCAAAUGAAUUGACGGA